CGGGGCGUAGCGCAGUGGCGAGCGCGCCAGGUUUGGGACCUGGAGGUCGCCGGUUCAAACCCGGCCGCCCCGACCA
rnacentral:tRNA from 1 species